AACGGAGGGGGCGAGCGUUGCCCGGAUUUACUGGGCUUAAAGGGUCCGUAGGCGGUUACCUAAGUCCCCCGUGAAAGCUGCUCGCUCAACGGGUAGAGGUCGGGGGAGACUAGGUAACUUGAGGGCAAGAGAGGCUGGCGGAACGGCGGGUGUAGCGGUGAAAUGCGUCGAUAUCCGCCGGAACACCAGUGGCGAAGGCGGCCAGCUGGAAUGCUCCUGACGCUGAGGGACGAAGGCCGGGGGAGCGAACCGG
rnacentral:rRNA from 1 species